rnacentral:misc_RNA from 1 species
UUGGUAUAUUGUUUUGCCCUUCAAUGGUAGUAGAAUUACCAGAAAAGUUAAUUGGCGGCUUUGUUUCAGGGGUGCCUUUGUAUCGGGCCGAAGCCGUCAACGCCAGCGGGUUAAAAUAAGAAAGCAACAGGAUGUAUGCUGACCAGUUAAGCACAAGGCCGUCUGGGGCAUCCAUCACAGUUGAAAGUUCCGCGGGUCAACAUCGAUCCCAAGCCGAAGCCUGGAGAUCUCCGUUUAAGUUGGGUGUGGUAAUGAUCCUUCCGCAGGUUCACCUACGGAAA